rnacentral:rRNA from 1 species
AGCGGAGAUGAGGUGCUUGCACCUUAUCUUAGCGGCGGACGGGUGAGUAAUGCUUAGGAAUCUGCCUAUUAGUGGGGGACAACAUUCCGAAAGGAAUGCUAAUACCGCAUACGUCCUACGGGAGAAAGCAGGGGAUCUUCGGACCUUGCGCUAAUAGAUGAGCCUAAGUCGGAUUAGCUAGUUGGUGGGGUAAAGGCCUACCAAGGCGACGAUCUGUAGCGGGUCUGAGAGGAUGAUCCGCCACACUGGGACUGAGACACGGCCCAGACUCCUACGGGAGGCAGCAGUGGGGAAUAUUGGACAAUGGGGGGAACCCUGAUCCAGCCAUGCCGCGUGUGUGAAGAAGGCCUUAUGGUUGUAAAGCACUUUAAGCGAGGAGGAGGCUACUGAGACUAAUACUCUUGGAUAGUGGACGUUACUCGCAGAAUAAGCACCGGCUAACUCUGUGCCAGCAGCCGCGGUAAUACAGAGGGUGCGAGCGUUAAUCGGAUUUACUGGGCGUAAAGCGUGCGUAGGCGGCUUUUUAAGUCGGAUGUGAAAUCCCCGAGCUUAACUUGGGAAUUGCAUUCGAUACUGGGAAGCUAGAGUAUGGGAGAGGAUGGUAGAAUUCCAGGUGUAGCGGUGAAAUGCGUAGAGAUCUGGAGGAAUACCGAUGGCGAAG